rnacentral:misc_RNA from 1 species
GAUGAAGAACGUAGCGAAAUGCGAUACUUGGUGUGAAUUGCAGAAUCCCGUAAACCAUCGAGUCUUUGAACGCAAGUUGCGCCUCAAGCCAUUAGGUUGAGGGCACGUCUACCUGGGCGUCACAUAUCGUUGCCUGAUGCCAGUUUCCUCGUGAUGGGUGACUGUGCAGGGCGAAUGAUGGCUUCCCGUGAGCAUUGUUGCCUCAUGGUUGGUUGAAAAUUGAGUCCUUGGUAGGGAGCGCCGUGAUAGAUGGUGGUUGAGUGACGAACGAGACCCAAUCAUGUGAGACCCCUACCGAAUUUGGCCUUCAUGACCCACAUGCGUCUUUGGAACGCUCAUGACGAGACCUCAGGUCAGGCGGGGCUACCCGCUGAGUUUAAGCAUAUCAAUAAGCGGAGGA